GAUUAUCCGGAGCUUAUAUAGGAGCAGUUUUAAAUUUUCAUGCAAUAUUCUACCCAAACUCUGAUGCGAUAAUCCUAAUGACAUAUCAUGUCAUUGUGUAAGCAGUAAAUGGUUGCUCAAUUGCACCAUUUACUGCUUAGUCUCUGGAAUUCUCAAAUCUUUUUCUUGGUCCUACUUGUUUCAACUUCAUUGUUGAAGUCAUUGCUUCAAAUCUUUCCACCCAUUUCUUCACAAUAUGGGCUGAUGGAACCAUAUCAUGAUGGCACAGUUGAAAAUGUGCCAAAAUUCAUGCUAUGCAGUUUCAUAACAACUAUUGUUUUUAUAAUAUGCAUUCACCAUGAAAGUGCACUGCUCUCCAGACCACUGCUCCAUAGCAACUGAAAUGGCAUCGUCUAUGCUACAUUCUCAUGGUCUCACAGCAUUGCCAGAUUUAACAAUGACCUUAUACUACACGAUUCAAAAUUUUCC
rnacentral:lncRNA from 1 species